GGAGUACGGCCGCAAGGCUAAAACUCAAAGGAAUUGACGGGGGCCCGCACAAGCAGUGGAGCAUGUGGUUUAAUUCGAAGCAACGCGCAGAACCUUACCAGGGCUAGACAAACUAAGAACCCGAAUGAAAGUUUGGGGUGCUCGCAAGAGAACUUAGGUCCAGGUGCUGCACGGCUGUCGUCAGCUCGUGUCGUGAGAUGUUGGGUUAAGUCCCGCAACGAGCGCAACCCUUAUCCUUAGUUGCCAGCGGAUAAUGCCGGGCACUUUAACGAGACUGCCGUCGUCAAGACGGAGGAAGGCGGGGAUGACGUCAAGUCCUCAUGGCCCUUAUGUCCGGGGCUACCCACGUACUACAAUGGGCGGUACAGAGGGCUGCGAACUCGCGAGAGUAAGCCAAUCCCAGAAAACCGUCCUCAGUUCGGAUUGCAGUCUGCAACUCGACUGCAUGAAGGCGGAAUCGCUAGUAAUCGCGGAUCAGCAAGCCGCGGUGAAUACGUUCCCGGGCCUUGCACACACUGCCCGU
rnacentral:rRNA from 1 species